rnacentral:rRNA from 1 species
GAUGAACGCUGGCGGCGUGCCUAAUACAUGCAAGUCGAGCGAACGGACGAGAAGCUUGCUUCUCUGAUGUUAGCGGCGGACGGGUGAGUAACACGUGGAUAACCUACCUAUAAGACUGGGAUAACUUCGGGAAACCGGAGCUAAUACCGGAUAAUAUUUUGAACCGCAUGGUUCAAAAGUGAAAGACGGUCUUGCUGUCACUUAUAGAUGGAUCCGCGCUGCAUUAGCUAGUUGGUAAGGUAACGGCUUACCAAGGCAACGAUGCAUAGCCGACCUGAGAGGGUGAUCGGCCACACUGGAACUGAGACACGGUCCAGACUCCUACGGGAGGCAGCAGUAGGGAAUCUUCCGCAAUGGGCGAAAGCCUGACGGAGCAACGCCGCGUGAGUGAUGAAGGUCUUCGGAUCGUAAAACUCUGUUAUUAGGGAAGAACAUAUGUGUAAGUAACUGUGCACAUAUUGACGGUACCUAAUCAGAAAGCAACGGCUAACUACGUG